UCCACCCUUACUUUCUAUUAAAAUUAAUAAAUAUUUCUCAUUUAAUAAACUCAUGGGCCAGCAAUUCUCCAAUCCUAAACUAAAACUGCCAAGACAACAUAUUAAAUUCUUCCAAUUUCCAGAUCCCUAAAAGUUUCAAUUUCUCCAAAUUCUCUUCAAGCAAAUUAUUUGGAACAAAAAUCAUCAACAGACAACACUACAAUAAUCAUUAACAAGGAACAACAACACAAGAAUUUGUUAUUGAUUCUUAUGAAUCGAAAUGGAUAGAUAUUUUUCUCCUCAACCAAGUUCUAGUUUUAAAGAGAUCAACUUCGAGACCAUUAAGCAGAAAUGUUGGAGCAACUACUAGAAAGUGGUGAAGUUCAAAGUGAAAAAGAAUUAAAUCAAGAACGAGGACUACAAAGGUCAGGUGACACUCGUUGGGGAUCACAUUUUAGAACAUUGGAUAACUUCAUUAUUUUAUUUUCAUCUAUAGCUCAUGUGAUUGACGUGAUUAAAUGUGGAGGCUCUAAUCCCAAUGAUUGAUUGCAAGCAAGAGCUUUUUUUACUCUGAUCAAUGAAUUUGAAUUUAUUUUCUUGCUUCACUUGAUGUUGAAGAUAUUGGUGAUGUCCAAUGAGCUGAGUGCAUCAUUACAAAGAAAAGAGCAAGAUAUUGUCAAUGCUAUGAUAUUUCUUGACAUUAUACUAAGAGAAGAUUGCAAUUGUUGAGAGAUGAUGGAUGAGAUGCUUUGAUGAAUGAAGUUUGUGUAUUUUGUGAUAAACAUGAAAUCUUAGUACCUAAGAUGGAUGAUUUUUAUCUUUUCUAAAAUUCAAAGCGUAGGCCUUCUAGUGUUACUUACUCACAUCACUUACGUGUUGAGCUCUUUUAUGCUAUAACUGACUUGCAACUUCAAGAGCUUAAUAAUUGUUUUGAUGUUGUGAGUGGUAACUUGCUUAUUGGUAUGGCAAGCUUGAGUCCAUCUAAUGCUUUUGCUAAUUUUGAUAAGGAAAAAAUAAUGAUAUGGGCCAAACAUUAUCCAAAUGAGUUUGGUGAAUCAAAGUUUCGGGAGCUUAGUUACCAACUUGAUACUUUCAUUAUACACAUGCGACGUAGUGAUCCUAUAUUCUCUAAUUUGAAAGGAAUUGGUGAUUUGACAGAAGCACUGGUUAAUGCAAAUCUUGUAGAAACUUAUUCUCUUGUGUACUUACUUGUGAAGUUGACCUUGAUUCUACCAGUCGCUACUACAACUGUAGAGAGAGCUUUUUCAUCCAUGAAGCAUGUCAAGAAUGAAUUGCGUAGCAGUAUUGGUUAUACAUUUUUAAGUGGUUGUUUAGUUUGUUACAUUGAGAAGGAUAUAUUUAUAAAUAUAAGCAACGAUACAAUCAUUGACCCUUUUCAGAAUAUGAAAACGCGUUGAUGUCUAGUAUGAAUGGAUGAUCUACUUUUGUUAAA